CAAUAGCGUAUAUUUAAGUUGUUGCAGUUAAAAAGCUCGUCGUUGGAUUUCUGUUGAGGUCGAACAGUGCCGCCCUAUGGGUGCGCAACUGGCUCGGCUUCGGCAUCUUCUUGGAGAGCGCAUCUGCACUUAACUGUGUGGAUCGUACUUCAAGUCAGUUACUUUGAGGAAUUGUGAGUGUUUCAAGCAGGCUUACGCCGUUGAAUCCGUUAGCAUGGAAUAAUAGGAUAGGACCUCGGUUCUAUUUUGUUGGUUUUGAGAGCUGGGGCAGCGAUUGAUAGGGACGGAUGGGGGCGUCCGAACUUUACUGUCAGAGGUGAAAUUCUUAGAUCGGUCAAAGGCGAACUACUGCGAACGCAUUCGCCAAGAAUGUUUUCUUUAA
rnacentral:rRNA from 1 species